UACGGGGGGUGCUAGCGUUAAUCGGAUUUAUUGGGCGUAAAGAGCGCGUAGGCGGCUUCAUAAGUCAGGUGUGAAAGCCCGGGGCUUAACCCCGGAAGUUCAUUUGAUACUAUGAAGCUUGAGUAUGGGAGAGGGAAGUGGAAUUCCUGGUGUAGCGGUGAAAUGCGUAGAUAUCAGGAGGAACACCGGUGGCGAAGGCGACUUCCUGGACCAAUACUGACGCUGAGGCGCGAAGGCGUGGGGAGCAAACAGGAGUAGAGACCCUGGUAGUCCACGCAGUAAACGUUGAUCACUAGGUGUAGCGGGUUUUUACCCCCGCUGUGCCGCAGCUAACGCAUUAAGUGAUCCGCCUGGGGAGUACGAUCGCAAGGUUAAA
rnacentral:rRNA from 1 species